UACGGAGGGUGCAAGCGUUAUCCGGAUUCACUGGGUUUAAAGGGUGCGUAGGUGGGCAGGUAAGUCAGUGGUGAAAUCUCCGGGCUUAACUCGGAAACUGCCAUUGAUACUAUAGGUCUUGAAUUAUCUGGAGGUGAGCGGAAUAUGUCAUGUAGCGGUGAAAUGCUUAGAUAUGACAUAGAACACCAAUUGCGAAGGCAGCUCACUACGGAUAUAUUGACACUGAGGCACGAAAGCGUGGGGAUCAAACAGG
rnacentral:rRNA from 1 species